rnacentral:rRNA from 1 species
GGUUUUUUGUAUUAAGAUGAAAGAUCGUACCUGCCCGGUGAGGAUUUUAACGGCCGCGGUAAAUUUAACUGUGCGAAGGUAGCAUAAUCAAUUGUUCAUUAAUUGUGGACUAGAAUGAAUGGUUUGACUAAAAAUUAGUUGUCUUAUUUUUAAUUUGAAUUUCAUUUUUCUGUGAGGAGUCAGAAAUGAAUAAGUGGGACGAGAAGACCCUGUUGAGCUUUAUAAUAGUUAAUGGGUGGAGUGUAAGUUGUGUAACUACAUUAAAUUUUAUUUUACUGGGGCGGUAAUAAUAUGUGAACAAUUAUUAAUCUUAUACUUAUAGGUGAUAUAAUGAGCCAAUAACAUUGAUUAUUAGACUAAGUUACUGCAGGGAUAACAGCGUAAUUUCAUUUUGGAGUACAAAUUUGUGAUGAAGAUUGCGACCUCGAUGUUGAUUUAGGAUUCCUUCUUGGUGCAGAAGCUAAGAAAUUAAAGGUAGUCUGUUCGACUAUUAAAAUCCUAUA